UAGGUCACAGAGAGGGGCUGGAGGUCUCUUCUAGUAUUUAAUCAUUGGAAACGUGAAACAGUAAUAUAAAACAUUCCAUUUGUGCUUUCCGAGAUAUCAUUUAGCAUACCAUACUUUAAACCUCCCUAAAUUUGCUUCAACAAAUGCAUAUGUACAAAAACACUAUCCAAUUGUGUAUUUCAAGAUAUCAUUUAGACGCUAUUAUACUUUAAACCUCCAUUAAUUUACCACAAAAUAUAUAAUUGUAAAAAAAGUGGAUCUCAUGGUGAAGGUGGUGGAGGGGAAUGGAAGGGGCUGCAGAGACUAUAAGGUCUGUUAAGGUCACAUUUACACACCUUUGACAAUCAUUCUCAUUGGUGGAUCUCAUGGUGAAGGUGGUGGAGGGGGAUGGAAGGGGACUAAGGUUUGCUGGGGUCACAUCUGCACACAUGACACCCAUUCUCAAGGUGGUGGAGGGGGUCAGAGGGAGUAAGGUUUGCUGGGGUCACAUCUGCACACAUGACACCCAUUCUCAAGGUGGUGGAGGGGGUCAGAGGGACUAAGGUUUGCUGGGGUCACAUCUGCACACAUGACACCCAUUCUCAAGGUGGUGGAGGGGGCCAGAGGGAGUAAGGUUUGCUGGGGUCACAUCUGCACACAUGACACCCAUUCUCAAGGUGGUGGAGGGGGAUGGAGGAGGUCAGAGGGAGUAAGGUUUGCUGGGGUCACAUCUGCACACAUGACACCCGUUCUCAAGGUGGUGGAGGGGGAUGGAGGAGGUCAGAGGGAGUAAGGUUUGCUGGGGUCACAUCUGCACACAUGACACCCAUUCUCAAGGUGGUGGAGGAGGUCAGAGGGAGUAAGGUUUGCUGGGGUCACAUCUGCACACAUGACACCCAUUCUCAAGGUGGUGGAGGGGGUCAGAGGGAGUAAGGUUUGCUGGGGUCACAUCUGCACACAUGACACCCAUUCUCAAGGUGGUGGAGGGGGCCAGAGGGAGUAAGGUUUGCUGGGGUCACAUCUGCACACAUGACACCCGUUCUCAAGGUGGUGGAGGGGGCCAGAGGGAGUAAGGUUGCUGGGGUCACAUCUGCACACAUGACACCCAUUCUCAAGGUGGUGGAGGGGGCCAGAGGGAGUAAGGUUGCUGGGGUCACAUCUGCACACAUGACACCCGUUCUCAAGGUGGUGGAGGGGGAUGGAGGAGGUCAGAGGGAGUAAGGUUUGCUGGGGUCACAUCUGCACACAUGACACCCAUUCUCAAGGUGGUGGAGGGGGUCAGAGGGACUAAGGUUUGCUGGGGUCACAUCUGCACACAUGACACCCGUUCUCAAGGUGGUGGAGGGGGAUGGAGGAGGUCAGAGGGAGUAAGGUUUGCUGGGGUCACAUCUGCACACAUGACACCCGUUCUCAAGGUGGUGGAGGGGGUCAGAGGGACUAAGGUUUGCUGGGGUCACAUCUGCACACAUUUGACAAUCAUUCUCAUUGGUGGAUCUUAUGGGGAAGGUUGUGGCAGGGGAUGGAGGGGGGUAGAAGAACUUGGAUUUUCAAGGGUCACAUUUGCACAUAUAACACAUAUUCUCAUUGGUGCAUCUUAUACCACAUAUUUUGGUGGAGGAUAGAAGGGGCCAAAGGGGUUACCAGGAUUGUUAGGGUCACACUAAUUCAAGUCAUGCUAUUCAAAUAUUUAUUCUUUCCCUGCAGCAUCCAAGAGUGGAAUCAUCUCCCAUCUCAUGUAGCUAAUAGUCCCACUCUUGACACAUUUAGGAAUAGGAUCAUCAAUCAUUAUCUCCCUAAUCCUGGCCCUUCACCAUGGCCCAAUACCUUCCCUCAUCCUACCCUUAUCCUAAUCCUGUCCUGGCCCCUUGAAUCCCCCGCAUAUCAUGUAACCGGAGAGAGGCCCUAUGCGGGUCCCCUAGAAUCGAAAAAAUGAAAACACUUGCAUGUCUCACAGCCCCUUUCAUCAGUGAUUCUUACCACGGCACAGUCCUGGGGGCAAGGCGCCUGGCCAGCACCGAAACAAGCCCCGUGCACACGCUACUGAUACUGAGAGGGUGGUGGUGGUGGUGGGCCAUAGGGGCCGAAGGGGUGACCUGGGUUGUUGGGGUCACACUUGCACACCUCACAGCCAUUCUCGUCAGUGAUCCUGAUGAUGGCGCAGUCCUGGGGGCAAGGCGCCUGGCCAGCAGCG